CGUGCCUUCCCAGCUGACAGAGGUUUUCCGGACGCCAUUUGCCAUCCUCCAGUGAAGCAUUAGCAAACUAGAAUACACAGUAACCCCUUGCUGAACAAUGGGAAUCUCAGAAGGGCAGAAGGAGGAAAGGAACUAGCUCCACAGGACUCCUCUAAAACAUUCCUUGCAUUAUUUCAGUUACUCCUCCAGGAAAGUAGGUAAAAAGCCAGGAACUGCGUGGAC